CCUACGGGAGGCUGCAGUGAGGAAUAUUGGUCAAUGGGCGGAAGCCUGAACCAGCCAAGUAGCGUGCGGGAUGAAGGCCCUACGGGUCGUAAACCGCUUUUGCACGGGGAUAACACCCUCCACUUGUGGAGGUCUGCAGGUACCGUGCGAAUAAGGGCCGGCUAAUUCCGUGCCAGCAGCCGCGGUAAUACGGAAGGCCCGAGCGUUAUCCGGAUUCAUUGGGCUUAAAGGGAGCGUAGGCGGGCGUUCAAGUCAGCUGUAAAAUCGCGCGGCUCAACCGCGCCCCGCAGUUGAAACUGGACGCAUUGAGUUCACAACAGGCAGGCGGAAUUCGUGGUGUAGCGGUGAAAUGCAUAGAUAGCACGAGGAACCCCGAUUGCGAAGGCAGCCUGCCGGGGUGCGACUGACGCUGAGGCUCGAAGGUGCGGGUAUCAAACAGGAUUAGAUACCCCAGUAGUC
rnacentral:rRNA from 1 species